GGGGGAUCUUGCGCUAAUGCGCGAAAGCGUGACGCAGCGACGCCGCGUGGGGGAUGAAGGCCUUCGGGUUGUAAACCCCUUUCGGCAGGGACGAAGGGAAACUGACGGUACCUGCAGAAGAAGCCCCGGCCAACUACGUGCCAGCAGCCGCGGUAAUACGUAGGGGGCGAGCGUUGUCCGGAUUCAUUGGGCGUAAAGAGCUCGUAGGCGGCUCGGUAAGUCGUUUGUGAAAUCUCCAGGCUCAACUUGGAGCGUGCAAGCGAUACUGCUGUGGCUUGAGUCCGGUAGGGGACCACGGAAUUCCUGGUGUAGCGGUGAAAUGCGCAGAUAUCAGGAGGAACACCGGUGGCGAAGGCGGUGGUCUGGGCCGGUACUGACGCUGAGGAGCGAAAGCGUGGGGAGCGAA
rnacentral:rRNA from 1 species